rnacentral:rRNA from 1 species
GACGAACGCUGGCGGCGUGCCUAAUACAUGCAAGUCGAGCGGACCAAAGGGAGCUUGCUCCUGGAGGUCAGCGGCGAACGAGUGAGUAACACGUGGGCAACCUGCCUGUAAGACUGGGAUAACAUCGAGAAAUCGGUGCUAAUACCGGAUAAUAAAAAGAACUGCAUGGUUCUUUUUUGAAAGAUGGUUUCGGCUAUCACUUACAGAUGGGCCCGCGGCGCAUUAGCUAGUUGGUGAGGUAACGGCUCACCAAGGCAACGAUGCGUAGCCGACCUGAGAGGGUGAUCGGCCACACUGGGACUGAGACACGGCCCAGACUCCUACGGGAGGCAGCAGUAGGGAAUCUUCCGCAAUGGACGAAAGUCUGACGGAGCAACGCCGCGUGAGUGAUGAAGGUUUUCGGAUCGUAAACUCUGUUGUUAGGGAAGAACAAGUGCCGUUCGAAAGGGCGGCACCUUGACGGUACCUACGAGAAAGCCACGGCUAACUACGUGCCAGCAGCCG